CUAGCGCGUCCGUAGGUGAACCUGCGGAAGGAUCAUUA
rnacentral:rRNA from 1 species